rnacentral:lncRNA from 1 species
CUCUAAUGCCUGAGGCUGGCUGUGUGCAAGGAGGGAAAAACGCCCAGCGCCGUGGCGGUGCACUUCCUGGUGCUGGGAGCUCCGAGGCUGCAGAGAAGCGCGCAGGCGCCUGCUCACCGGGGCCACCUGCAGGGGGCAGCAGCUCAGCCCUCCGAGCAAGAUGCCAGAUGGGCUUCGGGACUCAGUGCAGCAACUCUGGAGGAAACCUGGGGCUGAGGACCAGAAAGAGGCCCCCAGGCACUCCUGCAGCCCUUCUUGCAGCCGCUGGUGCAGCCCCUCCACAGAUCGCGCCUUCUAACUGAGGGAGGAGAUCAGCAUCUCUGGAGGUAAAAAAGGAAAAACAAAAAAAACAAAAAAAAAAAACCGACAUGCCAUUCUCAUACAGAAAAGCCUAAGAACAUGGAUACUGAUAGUGCACGCUAUCUUAUAAAUAAACACACUGAGAAAAAU